rnacentral:lncRNA from 1 species
GAAAGGACAUAAAAUGUGGAAAGAAUAAUAAGUAUAUCUAGAGCAAAUGGUUAUUCUCUUUGUCCCCAAUUUCAAACAAAGCAGCCAGAAAUGGAUCCCCAUAAUGGCACAAUUUUGUUAAUUUUUGCUUACCCACUCGGGAACCUAAAAUUACUUUCUUACUGAUUGAACUCGUAUACAAAAGUUUUGCUGUUUUUUUGCUGUAAAAUCUUGCACAUCUUGCAAAUGGGAUGUUUUAACAUUUGAAAAUUGGAAUUCAAGAGUUUAAAGGGUAUCUGUUACAUUCCAAAUUGGGAAUUGGGCAGGAUUUGGCAAAGUAAUACUAGAAAGAAAGCCUCCAGGACAUUAGGUAGUGAGGACCUGCACAGGAUGAGAGGUGACCUAAAGGAGAGAGUUUUGUACCGGUGGAAGGAUCUCCAGAUCUGUUGAAGCAAUUCAUAAUGCUAAUAAUAGCUAACAUUUAUAUCAAGUUUGCAAGUCUACAUAGAGCAUGUGAGACAGUUUAUAGAUGAGGAAAAGUAAGAUUCAGAGCACAAGUGACUGACUUGACUAGGGUUACAUGAUGGUUCCUUCUAAAGGAAUCAUUUGCAACCUCGGAAUAGGGACUUUUUUUUUUUAAAGCUGGCCUUAAAAUGUGAAGUCCUAUUCUGUCAUUAAUUCCCAUUACAAAUAAGCGAAGUUGUAUUCUCCCAGAUGGUAGACUGAAGGAGUUUGGAGGUGGAGGUAAAUGGGCCAUGGGUUCAAUUUCUGUCUCAAACUGUCUCUGGUUCUAUCAUCAUCCCAUAGCUGUAUUGAGUCAGAGUGACCCAACAGAUUAUAGCACAUGAAGGUGGUAUAAUAUUAUUGAACCAUUUAAAAAUCAGUGAAGGGAAUGGUUUGAGAGAAACCGUGUGAACUAGUGCAGAGUUGGAUGGACAAAACCUGAACGAAGUCUCCCAUAGCAACCAUGCUCUUAGGAACUGACCCGUGCAAUUGAUUCCGGGAUACUGCUACUUCCCUGACUUAGACCGGAUGGAUGGACCCAAGGGGCAGAAUUAGUAAAUGAAGAGAAUUGGGCUAAAUGAAUUGCCAGAUGCUGGGUCCUGACUCAGCUUCCAAUCUUGUCCGUAUUCAUGGCGAGGACAGCAAGAGACCGGAUCGACCAGCUUUGCCAUCUGUCUUCCAGGCUCAGCUCCACAAGGGCCAGGGAUUGUGGCUCACACUAAGGCAAACUUGGAACGGCCAUAGACACUGAGCUUGCAUUGGGAUGUAAAUCAGAUAUAGAGGCUGGAUGUGUGAUUCCGAGUAAACCAUUGUCCUGUGCCUCAAUUUCUUUAUCUGUAAAGGACUUGUUGGAUUCUAAGGUUCCCUUCCAGCUCUAAAUCAUUGAUCCUAUAAGCAGUUUGGGGAGUGAUCCCUCUUUUGAAAUCACGUGAAAUCUCAGCUUUACACAAUAGGUAAAAU